rnacentral:rRNA from 1 species
AUUGAACGCUGGCGGCAGGCCUAACACAUGCAAGUCGAGCGGUAGCACAGAGAGCUUGCUCUCGGGUGACGAGCGGCGGACGGGUGAGUAAUGUCUGGGAAACUGCCUGAUGGAGGGGGAUAACUACUGGAAACGGUAGCUAAUACCGCAUAAUGUCGCAAGACCAAAGUGGGGGACCUUCGGGCCUCAUGCCAUCAGAUGUGCCCAGAUGGGAUUAGCUAGUAGGUGGGGUAAUGGCUCACCUAGGCGACGAUCCCUAGCUGGUCUGAGAGGAUGACCAGCCACACUGGAACUGAGACACGGUCCAGACUCCUACGGGAGGCAGCAGUGGGGAAUAUUGCACAAUGGGCGCAAGCCUGAUGCAGCCAUGCCGCGUGUGUGAAGAAGGCCUUCGGGUUGUAAAGCACUUUCAGCGGGGAGGAAGGCGGUGAGGUUAAUAACCUCAUCGAUUGACGUUACCCGCAGAAGAAGCACCGGCUAACUCCGUGCCAGCAGCCGCGGUAAAAC